GGAGGAAACGCUGCAACAAAAAAAGGAUUACUGGGACGGAUGGGAUGACAGACAGGUUGCAUCUGCAGACAGGGCUCAAGUUAGAAAGAAAAGAGUCAAUCGGGUCUCCAUCUCUCUGUUACACCCGGGCUGAGAGUGUUGGGCCCCCGCGUCUCGUACCCCUUCCUAUCUGACAUGUAAGACCUGCAAACGCUGCGGUGUAAGGCUCGAAGUGAUUUUCUACGAGGCGCAUGCGCUGCUGCCUUACAAGCGCCCAAGCACACCCCUUGUUUUCUCUGGGAUCAGGUCUGACACGCUUUGGUGCGCAUGCCCUAAUGACACACACUCUAUUGGCUAUUGACCACCUUCAGAUGAGGGGCAGAGAUGGAUUCAGGAGGUACCAAUACUCUCCUCUUCCUAUGGGAAAUCUUACACUCAAUAUUUAUGAAUCAGAUCCUCAAAUCAAUGGGUUUUUCCACAACCCCAAUCUACAAUAUAGUAUCUGUACUAUAAAGUGAAAACAUCACUUCAACAGCUUCUUUCAAUGACUUGAAAUCGAAGAAAAGCCAAUUAAAUUGAGCAAAUGAGCAUUUCUUUGAAUUAUCAUCUCCUGGAAUUCACUCAAGGACCCCUGGGAUGCCACGCAUCCCACUUUUGGAAAGACAGUCACAGAAUAAAAUCAAGACCAUAAGCUGGUAAUAAAUAUAGACAUCUUUAAUUGCAUUUCAUUAGUUUAAGAAUGCCACAAGUUAUAAAUACCACAAAUCCGCUUUCAACAUGCCAAAACUUUUCCAAGACGUAUAACAGGUUUAAUACGAAGUACAGUCUUCCAUCUUAAAGUAUACACAUUUCAAAUAAAAGCAUUUCUUAAAAUUUAUAUUUAAAACACUAAGUAGUAUAAGGCUUGGCUAGUAUAACAAAGACCACAGGGUUAGUGUCAAAUGCUAAAAAUCAAGGAGGGACAAAUGAAAGGAUGCAUUCCACCAAACAAUAUGAAAAGAAGUUUGUGUGUGAUACAAUUGCAAAGUUGCAGAUAAUUUGUAUGGUUGUUUGCUGGCUAAUAAUCUUUUUUCAAGAUGUGCUUGGAUGUCAGUGAUAGUUCUGUCUCAGUUUUUUUGUUUUGGUAUGAAACUAUUCAUUUGUUAUAAUACAUCAGGUGCCACUUUAAGUUCACAGAAGCUUGACUUUAACAUAAAAAUUCAACAAAAAAAUCUAAUUAACCAAUAGCAAGUCAGUUUAGGUAAUUUUAGAUCAGGUCCUUUGAAUGGGAUCGUCCUUCCUCACCCUCAGACUGGGGCUUUUACUUCAACACGUAAAAACAAAACAGAAACACUCACAGUGCUACAAUAUUGCAUU